GGGCCGUUAGCUCAAUUGGUAGAGCGCUACUAUGGCAUAGUAGAGGCAACCGGUUCGAAUCCGGUACGGUCCACCA
rnacentral:tRNA from 1 species